CCUACGGGGCGCAGCAGUGGGGAAUAUUGGACAAUGGAGGGAACUCUUACCCAGCAAUGCCGCGUGAAUGAAGAAGGGCUUCGGAUUGUAAAGUUCUUUAAUUGGGGAAGAAAAAAAUGACGGUACGAAAGGAAUACGCCCGGGCUAACUACGUCACAGCAGCCGCGGUAAUACGUAGGGGGAAAGCGUUGUUCGGAAUGACUGGGCGUAAAGGGUGUGUAGGCGGUGUAGCAAGUUAGAAGUGAAAUACCUAGAGCUUAACUCAGGUGCUGCUUCUAAAACUGCUAUACUUGAGUGCAGUAGAGGAAAGUGGAAUUCCUAGUGUAGCGGUGGAAUGCGUAGAUAUUAGGAGGAACAUCAGUGGCGAAGGCGACUUUCUGGACUGUAACUGACGCUGAGGCACGAAAGUGUGGGGAGCAAACAGGAUUAGAUACCCGUGUAGUC
rnacentral:rRNA from 1 species